AACGAACGCUGGCGGCAGGCCUAACACAUGCAAGUCGAACGGGAUCUUCGGAACUAGUGGCGGACGGGUGAGUAACGCGUGGGAACGUACCCUUUGGUUCGGAAUAGCCCUGGGAAACUGGGAGUAAUACCGGAUACGGUCGAGAGACGAAAGAUUUAUCGCCGAAGGAUCGGCCCGCGUUGGAUUAGGUAGUUGGUGGGGUAAUGGCCUACCAAGCCGACGAUCCAUAGCUGGUUGAAGAGGAUGAUCAGCCACACUGGGACUGAGACACGGCCCAGACUCCUACGGGAGGCAGCAGUGGGGAAUCUUAGACAAUGGGGGAAACCCUGAUCUAGCCAUGCCGCGUGAGCGAUGAAGGCCUUAGGGUUGUAAAGCUCUUUCAGUGGGGAAGAUAAUGACGGUACCCACAGAAGAAGCCCCGGCUAACUCCGUGCCAGCCGCCGCAGUAAAAC
rnacentral:rRNA from 1 species